rnacentral:rRNA from 1 species
UACGGGGGGGGUAAGCGUUGUUCGGAAUUACUGGGCGUAAAGGGCUCGUAGGCGGCCAACUAAGUCAUACGUGAAAUCCCUCAGCUUAACUGGGGAACUGCGUGUGAUACUGGAUGGCUUGGAUUUGGGAGAGGGAUGCGGAAUUCCAGGUGUAGCGGUGAAAUGCGUAGAUAUCUGGAGGAACACCGGUGGCGAAGGCGGCAUCCUGGACCGAGAUUGACGCUGAGGCGCGAAAGCCAGGGGAGCAAACGGG